UUCUCUCUCCCUUCACCUGCCGCGAUCCCUCUCCCUCUCUGCUGUCUACCACUAAUCUCCUCCAGUCCACCUUAACUGGAGCUCCGCCUCUGACCCCCGUCCAGCCCUUUGCUGCUGUCCAGCUCCACCCCCUGCACGCCACCGCCCUGCCCGCCCAUUGGCCUGCACACCCGCCUAUCCCAUUUGGGACGCGCCUAGGGUUCAUCCAGGGAGUGGGUGGAGCUUGGGGCUGGCCUGAAACCAGAAGGGGAGGAAGGCCGAAGACAGUGUCCGCAGUGGCCAGGGAGUGGAGCAGCCCCCUCAGGGACUUCCUCUCCUUCCAGAGGGGCUUCUGUGGGGUCAGCACCUGGGGAGGGAAGGGUAGGAGAGGCUACGGAUAGGCUGCGUGGGAUGAAGACCUAGAAUUGAAAAGGAGUGGGGUCCCGCUAGGGCCUUUAAUCAGUGGAGAACCUGAGACCCCGCAGUGGAAGGGACGUCUUGGCGCAAUCUCACUCACACACGCAGGUGGCGAUAGAGGCCUGGCUGUCUUAGGAUGUCUGCUUGAGUGUAUUUGGGAAGGACCUGCGUUCGUCUUUCAGUGCCCAGCCAACCGGGAAAGGUAGCUUCGGAGCGACGCUUCCCACUGGGCCGGCGGUGCUACGUACCCCAAAAGGGCCCCUCCUACUGGUUUCAAACGGAAUCAAACCCCGCUCUCUCGGGCCAGGUUCGGCCUCGCAGCAGCCGGCCAGGCCGAACCGGGUCGGACUCGUUCUCCCUUCCCAGCCCCCUGCGCAGGGGGCCUCCCUCCCUUUCCAGCAGGUGGCUCCGCAGGACACCAGCUCAACCUGUUGGACCACAAUGGGCGGCGCCAGGGGGCCCUGGCCCUCACCCGGGCUGACCCGGGAUCCCCGAGCAGGGGGAGGGGCGGAGUCGGGCCGUCCCUCCCUCUUUCUCCUUCUCCCCUUGACGUGACUCAGCCUCCAGGCCGCUGCUCUGCCCCUCAGCCAGGGGCGGAAAGUGUGAGGCGCCCCGGAGGGCUGAGGCCAAACCAAACAGCCCCCCAUCCCAGACAUUAUCUCACUGGAGAAUUAGGGGGGCAAUAAGGACUAGUGGAUAGCAGUAGGCAUGGGAAGCUCUGGCUCAAGGAAUCCGUUCCGGGUUUUCCUAUCCUCUUUGUCCUGUUCCCCCCCCCCCCAGCCUCCCUCCUUUCCCCCCCCAGCCCGCCCAGGGUCAAGUCUGAUCUUUGCUCCAGGUUUUCUUAGCAGCCCCGCCGGACUGUUUCCAGUCGGGAGGAUUCCGAGCAAGAUGUGUCGGGGCUGGGUUUUUUCCCUUCCUCGCUGUCAGGGUCUCGCUGACCAGGGAAUGGGCCAUGCCAGGGGCAAGGCGGCAGUGGAGAUGCCAAGUAACAUGGAGAGCAAACCGUUUUCAGGAGAAGGGUACAAGGCCGAGGGAAAGGACUUGGGGGAGGGUAGGACAGUGGUCCAGGACUCCAGAAGGACGAGAGUCUUGUCACUUAGCUCCUGAGGACCCAGACGCGAACUGCUCCGCUGUCCCCUGCCCCUGGAGUGGCCCGGGAUCUUUUGCGGCUGGACUGCCAUCCUCCAGCAGUCCUGGAAAUCUACUGUUAGUUCCUCAGUGACUCUUUCCCAUGCUUUCCUUGUAGUGCAAAUAGUUCCCUUUCACGUUAGGGGGGCACCGACUUGAAAUUCCUGCCUUCUCCCUAACUUUGGUCCCGAAGUGCCAAACCAGAGACAGAGAUGGCCGAGGAGCGCUGGUGGGACCCCGCCCCCUUAUAGGGAGCCCGGCGCCCCCCAUCCCAAUCUGCUGUACACCUGAACUGGUACUGGGAACUGGAAGGCAAGUGUGGGGUCCGCAGGGGGUUCCGGGUGAGGCAACUUUGUAGAUUCUAGACUUUAAUGUAGGAGGAAAGUAGGUGAGCAAACACCCCGAGAGGAAGGUAUUUGUCCUGAGAAGGAAAUAGCCCUAGCAAGAAGGACUUUAUACCCAAGGCUGGGGACAGCGACUCUGAGUGGCGGCCUGGUUUCGAGACUGGCUGGUCCAAGUACACUGCAGAGUGGCUGCUGAGAGGGUACAAGGCUGGUGGAGUCCUGGAGGAAGAGGGCAGUUGGCGGCUGGAGGCGUGGCUCUCCUUGGCGGGGUCCUAAAGUGAGUCUGGGGGCCCGUUUUUGGGUGGGGGGGUGCUGAGCUGAAAGCGGCUUCUCCGCUUGCACCAGGCGCCCACCUAGUCUCUGCUCCCCCGCCCCUUUCCCGCGGCUGCCUCCGCUUCCCUCGAAAAACCCGCCGCCCAGGAAACCGCUGGGGGCGCUCAGACCGCAGCCCCCCCUGCCGCCGCCCCCCAGAACCCCUACCGCGACCGCCCAACCCACCUGAAGAGGCGGUGGCUGCCAGGGGUACUCCCUCCUGCCGACUCCCCCCACACCUGCGGGUAGCACUAUUUAUAACUGCGUGCCUAUUCUGGGCCUCUCGGCUGGAGCGCGCAGCAGCGCUGUGCUAAUCGCCCCUGGGAUCUCUGCGCCCCCCAGGGCUGGGGGAGGUAAAUUUAGCUUCAGGAAGCUCCGGGGAACGUUUUCCAAAACUCCACGUCCCAGAGCAGGCAACACAGAACCCCUCUGCGCGCAGCCUGCUUCCCACUCGCCGCCAGGUGGCGCUAGGCUCCUCCAUCCCAGCCAGCUAGGGGUGUAGGGUAGCGGUCCCGAAAGCCAGGCGGGGUGGAUAAGGAGCUGUGGAUGGCUACAGAUGCUAAUGGAGAAACUUCAGCAGGACGGAAAAGACUGUGGGGUCUGAGAGCCACCUAGAAAAGGGGCCAGAAGGUUUCUGAAUAUGAUUGGAGAAAUAACUCACAUGUAAACGAAAUGCAAAUGAGAGGUAGGGGUGUUUGCCAGCUUCCUCUCUCCGGGUGUCUCUUGGUCUGCUGUGAAAAAUGUGGGACCGGCCCCCUCAGCCCUCAAACUCAUUUUCUUGUGACCCGUUUCUUACCUCUGUGUGUCCCGCCCCCACCUCUGUCUCUCCCACUCUGCUCAAGGUUGCAAAUAGGAUGUAAUCUAUAGAAGAGCUUUUCUCUUUGCCGUGAUACUUGAAGUUUGCUGGUCUGUUCCGUUUCAACCCCAACUAUUCCCUUACCCCUUAUGGCUGCUAGAGGGCCCCAAGGAGCCCAGGGGUAAGCAGUAACUGCCCUUUCUGUCUUGGUAUCUUGCUUCUCUGCCCACCCUAUCCCUGGCAUGAGCUCCUGAAGCAAUAGUUUGAGUGUUCAAGACCUGAGCAGCUCUUUUUGAGAGAGCAUUGGAAGAAGUUGUCACAUUUCCUUUUCCCUUCUAGAAGAAAGGGGACGUUGUUGUCAGGAAAACUAUUCUCGUCUGGAUGGGUUAAACAAAAGGUAUUUGGAUGGGACCUUAAGUUGAUCCAAGGUGCAAAGGUCACAGUGAGCCUAGAGCUUUGAUGGGAAAAGGGUACAGCUUAGGAGAGAUGCCUGCACACUUACAUGGCUUUGCCUCUCACGGCAACUUAACCAUUUCUAUCAGAAGAGGAACGCAGAUUAAAGAGGAACUCUGGUUUUGA